rnacentral:rRNA from 1 species
CACGUAGGGCGCAAGCGUUGUCCGGAAUUAUUGGGCGUAAAGAGCUCGUAGGCGGUCUGUUGCGUCUGCUGUGAAAACCCGGGGCUUAACCCCUGGCUUGCAGUGGAUACGGACAGACUAGAGGUAGGUAGGGGAGAAUGGAAUUCCCGGUGUAGCGGUGAAAUGCGCAGAUAUCAGGAGGAACACCAAUUGCGAAGGCAGCUCGCUGGGACGUUACUGACGCUGAGACGCGAAAGCGUGGGGAGCAAACAGG